rnacentral:rRNA from 1 species
CAGUAGCCGCGGGAAUACAGAGGGUGCAAGCGUUAAUCGGAAUUACUGGGCGUAAAGCGCGCGUAGGUGGUUUGUUAAGUUGGAUGUGAAAUCCCCGGGCUCAACCUGGGAACUGCAUCCAAAACUGGCAAGCUAGAGUAUGGUAGAGGGUGGUGGAAUUUCCUGUGUAGCGGUGAAAUGCGUAGAUAUAGGAAGGAACACCAGUGGCGAAGGCGACCACCUGGACUGAUACUGACACUGAGGUGCGAAAGCGUGGGGAGCAAACAGGAUUAGAUACCCGAGUAGUCCCUGUCUCUUAUAC